rfam:Triticum aestivum genome assembly, contig: Triticum_aestivum_CS42_TGACv1_scaffold_423551_5BS
GGGGAAAUAGCUUAGUUGGUUAGAGUGUUGGUCUGUCACGCCAGAAGUCGCGGGUUCGAACAUCGUUUUCCCCG